rnacentral:rRNA from 1 species
CGUAUCACUUAAAGCGAUUCAGCGGGUUACGAUUGACGGAGCGAAGCGACGUCAAAGCGUAUACAAAGUCGAGUCGGUUUAAGGAUACGUUCGUUGGGUAGGGGAGCGUUCUGUAAGCCUGCGAAGGUGGCCUGUGAGGGUUGCUGGAGGUAUCAGAAGUGCGAAUGCUGACAUAAGUAACGAUAAAGCGGGUGAAAAGCCCGCUCGCCGGAAGACCAAGGGUUCCUGUCCAACGUUAAUCGGGGCAGGGUGAGUCGACCCCUAAGGCGAGGCCGAAAGGCGUAGUCGAUGGGAAACGGGUUAAUAUUCCCGUACUUGGUGUUACUGCGAAGGGGGGACGGAGAAGGCUAUGUUGGCCGGGCGACGGUU